GCACAAGCAGUGGAGUAUGUGGUUUAAUUCGACGCAACGCGAAGAACCUUACCAAGUCUUGACAUCCCUUGACGAUGCUGGAAACAGUAUUUCUCUUCGGAGCAAGGAGACAGGUGGUGCAUGGUUGUCGUCAGCUCGUGUCGUGAGAUGUUGGGUUAAGUCCCGCAACGAGCGCAACCCUUAUGGUCAGUUACUACGUAAGAGGACUCUGGCCAGACUGCCGUUGACAAAA
rnacentral:rRNA from 1 species